GAUGAACGCUGGCGGCGUGCCUAAUACAUGCAAGUCGAGCGAACAGACGAGGAUUUUGCUCCUCUGACGUUAGCGGCGGACGGGUGAGUAACACGUGGAUAACCUACCUAUAAGACUGAGAUCACUUCGGGAAACCGGAGCUAAUACCAGAUAAUAUAUUGAACCGCAUGGUUCAAUAGUGAAAUACGGUUUUUCUGUCACUUAUAGAUGUAUCCGCGCGGCAUUAGAUUGUUGGUAAGGUAACGGGUUACCAAGGGAACGAUGCGUAAACGACGUGAGAGAGUGGUAGGCGACCUUGGAACGUAACCGGCGUCAAGGCGCCUGAGAGACGCCGCAGUAGGCAACGUGCGGCAGUAGUGGGGAGCAUGGCGCAACGAGCGCGAGUGAGUGAUAGCGGUGUCGGGAUCGUAAAGCUCUGUUAUUAGGGAAGAACAAAUGUGUAAGUAGAUGUGGAGGUAUUGACGGUACCUAAUCAGAAAGCCACGGCUAACUACGUG
rnacentral:rRNA from 1 species